rnacentral:rRNA from 1 species
GCAGUCUGCAACUCGACUGCACGAAGUCGGAAUUGCUAGUAAUCGCGGAUCAGCAUGCCGCGGUGAAUACGUUCCCGGGCCUUGUACACACCGCCCGUCACACCAUGAGAGUCGGGAACACCCGAAGUCGGUAGUCUAACCUCGUGAGGACGCCGCCGAAGGUGGGCUUGAUAAUUGGGGUGAAGUCGUAACAAGGUAGC